rnacentral:rRNA from 1 species
UACAGAGGGUGCAAGCGUUGUUCGGAAUUAUUGGGCGUAAAGCGCGUGUAGGCGGCUUUGCAAGUCGGGUGUGAAAGCCCUCGGCUCAACCGAGGAAGUGCGCCCGAAACUGCAGAGCUUGAGUACCGGAGAGGAUGGCGGAAUUCCCCAAGUAGAGGUGAAAUUCGUAGAUAUUGGGAAGAACACCGGUGGCGAAGGCGGCGACCUGGUCCAUUACUGACGCUGAGGCGCGACAGCGUGGGGAGCAAACAGG